ensembl:snRNA U1 U1 spliceosomal RNA
AGUUUAACCUGGCAGGGGAGAUAGCAUGAUGAUGAAGGUGGUUUUCCCAUGGUGAGGCUUCCAUUGCACUCCGGAUGUGCUGACCCCUGCGAUUUCCCCAAAUGAGGGAAACUCCACUGCAUAAUUUGUCAUAGUAGGGGACUGCGUUCGCGCUUUCCCCUG